rnacentral:rRNA from 1 species
GAUGAACGCUGGCGGCGUGCCUAAUACAUGCAAGUCGAGCGAACGGACGCGAAGCUUGCUGCUCUGAUGUUAGCAGCGGACGGGUGAGUAACACGUGGAUAACCUACAUAUCAGACUGAGAUAACUUCGGGAAACCGUAGCUACUACCAGAUGAGCUUUUGAACCGCAUGGUUCUAGAGUGAAAGACGGUCUUUCUAUCACUUCUCGAUGGAUCCGCGCUGCAUUAGCUAGUUGGUAAGGUAACGGCUUACCAAGGAAACGAUGGAUGGCCGACGUGAGAGGGGGAUCGGCCACCCUGGAGCGGAGACGCCGACAAGACGCCUAAGAGAGGGAGCAGUAGGGAAUCGGCCGCAAUGGGGGAAAGUCUGACGGAGUAAGGGCGCGCGAGUGAUGAAGGUCUCGGGAGCGGAAAAAUCUGUUAUGAGUGAAGAACAUAUGUGUAAGUAACUGUGCAGAUAUUGACGGUACCUAAUCAGAAAGCCACGGCUAACUACGUG